UAAAAAUAGGUUCGCUAGGAGCUAGUUCCGGUGGAUUUAGUGGCUGACCACCUCAUUAGAACGAAGAUAAGGCAUCAAUAAAUUGUUUAUUGUUGGCAAAGAAUAAUUAGUUUUUCAGUUUUAGUUUUACGGCAUAUGGGCUGUGACGACCUGCUCAAGUUCUUAAUGCUAAAUUAUUACAAUCUCAUUAGAACAACAAUGCUAAAUUACAACCUCAUUAGAACAACAUAGCCAUAAAAUUGUUUCCUCUUGCCCAAGGAUUGUUAGGUUUUAAGGCCUAUGGGCUAUGUCAGCCCAUUUAAGUCUUUAAUGCCCAGUUACUUCUAGACGAGCACGUACAAGCUGGCUAGUCUCAGACCUAGUGAGAAUAAGUCUUUCUCCAAACGUUUUUUUUAAAAUGUAAAUAUUAGGAAUAUAUAUAAUGUAUAAUUAGAAAAAUAUUAUUUCUGCGUCUCGGGAGUGAGCCUAUACUAAGGCCCCAAUUUCCAGGCUUGACCGGAUUGAAGCCUACAAGUAUAAGUAGAAGGCCGAAGCCUGUAGCCUCCCAGCCUUGGCCCAAUAUAGACUUUCGGGCCGAGUAGGACGCCUGAUCUUGGGAAGGGCCAUCAUCAGGUCAUCAAACCUUCAAUAUAAACCCAUGAAGCUCCGAGCCUAUGGAACUCCUCUAUUUAGGAGCUGGGCCGGAUCCAAGCUAGACCAUAAUCUGGUUGUCCAACCUUCAUUCUAAUGUGCGGCCUUGCGAAUAAAUAGAUGACAUUAAUAGAUUGGGCCCAAAAUAAUAAACUUGAUUUCCUCAGAUCCAUAUCCAUAAUUUCAUGUCAGAUCAGGAUACAGAUUGAGAUAUUGGUUGAAAAAUAAUACAAUCUAUUAUUUUGCGGUUCGUAAAGUGUAUUACUUUACAAUAUUCUAGUUGGCUGAAUACAAAAAGAGAACCAUAUGGACCUAUGGUAGUAAAAUAAAUUUUUUUAAACAAUAGGGUGACUAAAUGAAAAUGUGCUGAACCACAAGGAGCAAAUUGAAGUUUUUCCUCUUAAUUAUUUUUGGAAAAUGGUUCUUAAUUGUACACCCCAAUUGGGAUGUACAAGAUAUACCCCACCCUUGGAUGGGUGGGGUGUAUAACCUACACCCCCAAAGAGGUGUACCACCAAUAUUUGCUCAUUAUUUUUUAUGAAUUGUUCUCCAAUACAAUCAUUUAUAAUACAAAGUUCAGCAAUUCAUUAUCGUUUGUUGCCUAUUAGCUGAGCUAAUUAUCAAUUAACCACAACUUAAAAAUGUACUUAUCCACUAUUACGGAGGUGAGCAUUUGCAAAUGCAUAGAGUGAAGUUGUUUAACCCUUACAUAGUAAAGAAGUUGUAGCAGGUGAAUUAUAAGUUUAUAACCCUUAUGUAGUAAAGAAGAUGUAGCAGGUGAAUUAAGACUGGUGGUGAUGCCGAUGCCACGUGCAAAUCUCAUGAUCUUGUGAUCAGCCUUUAUGGAUGAUUUUGUUAUCAAAUUGUACAGUUUUUAACUUGCCGAAUUUUAUUAGACCAACUAUCAAUUUUUUAACCAAAAAAAUUGCAGCUUAUUAUAUGAAGAAUUAUUGAAUAUAAAAUAUUAAAAUAGAUAAAUAAUGUUAUUUUUAUAUAGUAUUAAAAGUACAAGGUCAUGAGAUUGAUUGCUACGAACUUCUAGCUUCUUUCAAUUGAACAUUUUAAGUAGAUCUCUAUAUCGAUCUCAGGAAAUGACAACCCUAAAUUAAAAAAUAGAAGAAGUUGAACGUGUCUGGACUUGCCAAGUUGCCAACAGUUCCAACAAUAGCUGCCACCGAGUGCAAGCACUCUUUUUGUUUCUUUCUUUCACUCUUCUUACUUCACAUAUUUUCGCCUAAAAAAAAUUCAUUCGUUAUUGAUGGUCAUCAUCUGAAUUCCUAGUGUUUUUCUCUCUCUUAUCAUUGGGGUCGUUGUACAUGAUAUCUGCACCUAAACAGUGGUUCGUGGGGUGCUACGGUCUCACCUCCUCUUGCAAAUGAUUGUGGUUGUUGCAUAUAUGUAGCAGUUAAUAGUUGAUGCCAUGCAUGUGCCCCAAUAAUGGUCGGCGCAUCUCAACGGCCAUCCUCAUGGUGGGGUAGUUUAGUGGGCUCUCUCUCUCUCUUCUCUCUCAUUUUAACCGUAUGGACCGUGUCCAUUCCAUCAGUCCUGAUGAGACCACGUGUUGAUCGGCCAUCCUUGUUUUGUUAUUUCAGUUUUUUUUUUCGUUUUUGUUGAAAAUAUCUUAAUUAUAUAUAUAUAUAUAUAUAUAGAGAGAGAGAGAGAGAGAGAGAGAGAGAGAGAGUUGGUUUAGAAUAUUAUUGAUAACAAAAUAUUUUUUUGCUAUCAAAUUUUUAGUUUUUGAAUCAAUUUCUUUCAUCAUUUUUAACUAUUGGAUUAAAUAUUAUAAUCAAGUGAGGAUCACUCAAUCCUAGAGUAGCGUUUGGUUCGGGAACAAGGGGGGAAAUAAGUCAUUGUUCUCCCCCUUUGUUUCCAAAUGUGAUGUUUGGUAUUCUGGAACAGUAGUUCCAGAGUUUUAAGAACAAGUUGAACUUGUUUCUUGACGAGAACAAUGUUAAUUAAAAUCUAAAUUUAAUUUUAAUGAUAGUAAAUUAUUAAUUAAUCUAAUUAAUAUAUUUAAAUUAUUAUUUAUUAUUUUAAUAAAUAAUAAUAAUUUACUAUUCUCAUGAGUCCGGUUAUGGUGCUUGUAAAAGCACUAAAUACUUGGUACUUAUAAAUUUUUUACUGUUAAAUUUACUCCUCUGACCAUUUUCAACCGUUUGAUUAUAUUAUUCAACCAACCACCUACUCAACCCUAAGGGGUCCAGAUCAUUCUAGCCGCAUAUUUCUUAAUUGAAUGGUUAAAAAUCUACGAGUACUAAUAAUUUGGUACUUUUAAAAAUAUAGAAGCUCAAUUCCUAUUUCUCAUAUUAUUAAUAAUAUUUGUGUCUCUAUAUUUAUAUAUGUAUGUACGUGUGUGUGUGUGUAUAUAUAUAUGUAUGGAUGCUUAAGAUAUAAAAUAGAGAUGGGCUCAGGGCAAAUCAAUUUGACGGUCCACAAAUUAGGCGGUGGACAUGUUUUUAUGAGUCCACUCUCUUUUGGAGACCCGUUUGCUAAGCCUUUGUCAGCUGGGAUGGAGAAGCGGUCACCUCCUUCCAUGUGAACCAAGCUACCCGCUUCCAAUAAUGCCAAUCACUCAUUUUUUGUCCUUUAAACAAUCUUCUUUCUACAUAUGAUUGUUAUCGUUUUGUCUUGAUGGAAGUUUAUAGGAAGAGUUCAACCCAUUAGUUCCCUAUCCCUUCAUUUGUUGAUAUAUAUUAAGUUGGCGGAUACCUUGGCAUAAUUAACUAUACCAAACAACCAGCUUUAGGAAUGUCCCUAUGUGAUAGCCUUUAUAAUAAUAGCUUUUGCAGUGAAAUUAAGACAAAGGCUGAUCGUAUUAACAAAUCUCAGUAAAAGAGGCCGUUGAAAACUCCUAAAGAUGCUGAUGAUCAUCAUAUGAUUCAUGAUAUACCCGUACGGAAGAAAUGCUAAUGGAAAAGAUUCCACUGGAGAUCAUUCACGCAGCCACCCCUUUCAGACGGAUCAAACAACGUGGGCGAGACGUGCUUUGCACCCCUAGUUACACGAAGCUGCUUUAUUAAUUGUUUAGAUCUAGCUAAAAGAUAUUAAGUUAAUUAAUUAGUGGUGUUAGAACAGAUGCAUACAUACCAGUGGUCAAAGGGCUAGUAUAAUGAAAUAUUUAUGAAGGUACGUAACACCUUUCGUUUAUGAAUUUAUCAAUGUAUCGAACCCAAAGACCUCCAAUGCCCAUAUGAGGGUUGUCUGCCACCAGGUUCAUGUCAUGUGCGCCACUAUAUAUAUUACCUAUCUCUCUCUCUCUCUCUCUCUCUCUCUCUCUCUCUCUCUCUCUCUUCAAGUGAGUGACUCAACUGCUUCAAGUGCAUGCAGUUGUUGGCAUUGGAAGGAACAUUUUAAUUGAGCUCCACAAUGUAUUCAGCCUCUCAAAGUUAUCUAACAAUUUAAAUGGUCCUGUCGAACAAUCGAUCUUUGAAGCGUGCAUAUAUAUUAUAUAGGGAAAACUUCAAAGCCUCCCCCUGUGGUUUCCAACUUUCUCACUUUAGUACCUUGUGGUUUAAAGUGUAUCAAUUUAUACCCCUGUGGUUUUGUUUUUAUCUUUUCUAUAGCUUUUCUUUUAAUAUUUCGUUGAAUUAUAUACAAAAAAAUAUCAGAUAUCCAUCUAGAUUUACCGAAUAUUUAUUUUAGUACCCUUUAAUUUUAAUUUUAUCACUGAUUUAAGAAAAAAAAAAUAAAAUUGAUAAAAAAAAAGAGAAAAACGAAACCACAGGGGGGGCAAAUUGAUACACUUUAAACCAUAGGGUACUAAAAUAAGAAAAUGCGAAACCACGGGGGGAUUCUGAAGUUAUCCCUAUUAUAUAUCUAUAUAUAUAAAGAGAGAGUUGAGUUGGAAUGCUAUUAGUAGCAAAUAGGUUCUGUUGUCAUUCAUUUGUUUUCGAUGAUGGAGCCUCCAAAUCGAUGAUCGGUAUCAUUAAAUAUGAUUUAUACUACUUGAAUCAUUUAGAAACCAAAGUUCAAGUCUUUUCAAUAUUUUUGACCUAAUGAUCAAAAGGUUUUAAAAUUUAUAAUUUUUUUUUUGAGAAAAAGGUAGCAAGCUACCUGCUUCAUUCAUAAAGCGAGAUGAAUUAAGCGUACAGGAUGGAAGCAACUACGGCCUCCGUAGACGAAAAAGGUGAAAACAGGGUUAGAUGCAAUAAAAAGAAAUAAAAGAUAAAAGAGGAAAGGUAAGUGAAAAGCUGAGGGAGUUGGUCAAUUAAAAUUUAUAAUUUUAAUUUAUAAUUUUAAUUGUCGAUAUGUGGCGGUUUUUCGUUCAACAACGUAAAGAUAUCCAAAUAAAUUGAAUUUAGGUUAUAAAAUUUUUUAAAAUAUCUAGAACAAAGAUCUAUGCUAUUGAUCUUGAUUAUAAGACUCCUAUCAUCAUCUUUUUCAGAAUAUUCAUUUUCAGCUAUUUAUUUUUCUGUCCACUUGAUGGACAAGAGAAUAAUAUCGAGAAAGUAAGAAAUUUGGUUUUUAGAUGCUUCAAGUGGUAUAGAUUAUGUUCAACGGCAUCGAUCGUCGAUUUGGAGACUCCAUCUUUUAAAAUAAAUGGGUGGCAACGAAGCCCGUUUGUUAUCGAUAGCAUUCCAGCUCAACUCUCUUUCUCUAUAUACGUUUUAUAUAUAAUAUAAUAUAAUUGAGUUUCUAUACUAUUAAUAGUAUUUGAUUUUUUUACUAUACAUUUUCUAACUGUUAGAUAAAAAUUUGUAGGGUUCGGAUAAUAACAGUCCCAUAAAGUUUAGUGGUGGGUUUCAUUAGAGUUUAAUGGUAGUUGGUUAAAUAAUGUUGAUCUAAUGAUAGAAACAAUCAAAAGAGUAGAUAUAACGGCUAAAAAUUUAUAGCAAAAUAGUCUAAAUACUAGACUCUAUAUAGAAUUGAGCAUAUGCCUGGUCAUGGAGGGGCCGCCUCCACAGGCGAACACAACAACAACAACUGCAGAGGCCUGAUAAGAAAGAGUGACGUGAUACUAAUUUUAAAUUCAAAAUACCAGAGAGAAAAAACAUUGGACGUUAUGUAUUUUGGAGAUAGAUGUUUGACGGUGUCUAAUUUGCCGUUAGUAUUUGGACGUAAAAUAGCACUAACAAGUAACAAAUUGAGACGACUUUUUCUGCUCAGUCAUUCAAAAGGCACAAUUGGAUUUCCUGCCCUUGACCUGCAUGUUGAUCUGUAGCUAAUUAAACAAAUAUCAGUAAUUAUGUUGCCUUCCGUAUAUCUUACUGUAUAUAGGUCCAUGCUUUUGCCAUGCGUCAGUUGCAUUACUCUUCAUUAGAUUUAGGGUUAAUUUCUUUAGUACCCUCUUAAAAGGCCAUAAUUUCAUAAAUACUUUUUUUAAUUAUGAAAUAUUAUUGGUGUCUUUAUAAGCAUCAAAGGGUUUAGAGUUUAGGCUUUAGGUCUGGGGUUUUGAUGGGUAUUUGAGAUAUAUAUAUAUAUAUAUAGAAGAAUAUGAACGGUAGAUUUAUAUAUAUGUUUAGAGAAAUAUAAGUGAUAUUUUAGAUUCUGAAGAGGUGUUUAUAAUAUUUUAGAACUUUAGAAAAUUAUGUUUGAUAUUGAGAAGCUUAGAUUAAAGACAGUCUAUUUAUGCUAAUGAUGAUGAUAUCAUCUAUCAGCAGAAAAGGACAGUACUUCAGUACAAUUUGUGUUAUGAACGGGAAACCCCACGUGUAUUAGUCAACGCAUACUAAUUAACUAGAUCAUUAGUAACUAUUUCCUGAAUCUAAUAAAUGCCGAGCCUCCAACCACCUAGAAUUGUUCACUGGCCAAUCAAACUAAAAGUCUUGUCAUAUAUAGAACUAAAUUAAUCCAUUAACAAAAUAACUUUACUCUCUAAUUAGUAAUCCGUUUGAAAUUGCCAAAGAAUUCUCUAUCUCUCAUGUAAUCGCCAAUGUUACAUGCUUGCAUAUGUGUGGUCAAUCGUUUUGCUAAUUAAGCAAUUACGACGUAGCACGGGGAUUACAGAGGAGGCUAGCUUCCUCUUCGUUUCUUAUGCAUUCCAGGGGGAAUUAAGCCCUACACAUAGGCACCACUAAUGGGGUUUCUUUAAUUUCUACAGGGAUUCUAUUGGAUGAAAGUGACCCCGCUCUGCGGCUAGAUCUUACAACAAAAUGCAAUUUAUGCUUACAAACAGUUUCAAGCGCUAAGUUAACUUUUUAAAAAAAUUAAAUGAAGUAGAUAGUAUAUUAUUUUUUGAGUGAGGCUACUAUACUUCUGGAAGCACGGAGCCUUCCAUGCUUCCAGAUCGUUUUCGAUGUUGCGACUUUCGAAUCGUCGAUCGGCUCUGUUAAACUUGAUCUAGAGUAUUUGAAGUACCUAGAAAAUAAAUUUUACAAUUUUUCGAUAUCAUUUGCCUAGUGAACUAAGGGGCUCAAAAUCAACGGUUGAAAAUAAAAAUCUUACAAAACGUGAUAAUAUGACAUUAAAAUUUUAGAUCAAAGAUAUUGAUCUUGUUUUAUAUAGUAUAAAGAUUUUUCUAUCAAAAUUUCACAUGAUUUUGAUAUUUCUACACCGUUAAACUUGUAAACGGCUCACCAUGACUAUUAAAAUUAUUGAUUUCGAGUCCCUUCGAUCACUAGGCAAAUGAUAUCGAAAAAUCAUAAAAUUUAUUUUCUAGGUACUUCAAAUACUCUAGAUCAAGUUUAACGGAGCCGAUUGACGAUUCGAAAGUCGCAACAUCAAAAACGAUUUGGAAGCACGGAAGGCUCCGUGUUUCCAGAAGCAUAGUAGCCUCACUCUUAUUUUUUUCUUAUAUAUAUAUAGAGUUUUGCUAGAAUACUAUCAGUAGUAAACGAGCCGUUUUACUAACUAUUUGUUUUCGAUGAUAGAGCUUCCAAAUUGACGAUUGGCUCUGUUGAACAUGAUCUAUACCACUUGAAGUGUUUAGAAAUCAAAUUUCAAAUCUUUUCGACAUCAUUUGCCUAAUGAUCAAAGGGUUUCAAAAUUUGUAAUUUUAAUGGUCGAUAAGAAGCGUUUUCUCGUUUAACGGUGUAAAGAUAUCCAAAUUAAUUGAAUUUUUGUUAGAAAAUUUUUUAAACUAUUUAACACAAGAUUUAUACUCUUGAUCUUGAUUACAAGACUCCUAUCAUUAUUUUUUAAAGAAUAUUCAUUUUCAACCAUUCAUUUUUCUGUUCACUUGAUGGAUAAAAGAACAAUAUCGAAAGUGCGUGAAAUUUGAUUUCUAGGUAGUUUAAAUGGUUUAGAUCAUAUUUAACGGAGCCGAUCGUCAAUUAGAAAGCUCUAUCAUCGAAAAUAAAUCGGUAGUAAAACAGUUCGUUUACUAUCGAUAGUAUUCUAGCUAAACUCUCUCUCUCUCUCUCUCUAUAUAUAUAUAUAUAUAUAUAUAUAUAUAAAAGGCUACUUUGACCGACUUCUUGUGAGUUUCAAGGGCCACCAUGUUUUGUGAAGCGAACCAAAUCUUAAAAGUUGAAGCAGCCCCCUCGUGAUGUACAAAUUAUUAGUAAGGUCGUUACUGUUGCUUAUUUUUCUUAACAGUUUCUGUAUAACGUAAUGAUUAUUAUCCAGAUUAGCUAUUAUAAAUGUUAUAAAAGUGCAAUGAUUUUAUCAUAGUCACCAUAUGGAACAAUUGAGAGUAAUUUGACAAAAAACUAUAAAAAAUAAUAUAUAAAUGCUUUACAUUCAACAAGAUAAUUAAUCUGAUAAUUUAUUCUAGCAAUUUGAAACUAAAACUCUUUCGCAUACAUAGCAGCAAUUCGACCACAAAAACAGCUUAGGAUUAAUAUUUUUUUUUUUGAAAAAAAGAUAGCACGAUAUCCGUUUCAUUCAUAAAAAGGAUGAACUAAGCUACAUGCGUGAAGCAGUUGGGCCUCGGUGGGGGCGAAUCGAAAAAAAAAAAAAACACCCGUUACAUUAUGAGCUAGAGUAAGACUGCACCCAUAGUUUUGUCAAUUGUCUGAUCUUGUAGACUGCUAGGAUGAGGUCUACCUGAGUCUAUCGAAAGAUAACUUCAUUCCUGAUUUUUCAGAUGA
rnacentral:lncRNA from 1 species